rnacentral:misc_RNA from 1 species
GUUAUUAUUGCAUGGCAAGACAAAUGGUACAGUAUGUGGAUAGCUAGUGCUACAACUACCAUAGAACUCUCAUCGUAUUGUUCACAUAGAGAGCAUAUUCUAUCAAUCCAACAAGUAGAAGCUAUUUUAUUCCAACUGCCACUAAAGACAUUCAAGACUAUUAUUUACCUUAUAUACUUAGCAUUUUGAAAAAGUAAAAACUUUUAAACUAAUCAUCAAUAAUUCCCACAGAUAAAAUGAAUAGCUGAUAUAGAGAUUCUGAUAGAUGCCUAGCAUACCUGUGUGGAUAGUCA